rnacentral:lncRNA from 1 species
GAGCCCUCCGCCAUCCGCCCCUUCUCCCCUUCCUCCUCAGGGCUCAUCGCUCCCGUCCUCUUCCAUGGAGGAGGAGGAGAGGACUGCCUCUUGACCUUGCGUUUUCUCCUCGCAGGAGAUGCCCCCCCGCGCUCACGCACACACAGCCCUCGAUCGCAGCGCCCCGGCCUCCCCCUCCUCCUUUGUAGUCGCGCUGCCCGCGGCACACGCGCAGGCAGCGGCGAGGAGGAGCGCGGGGGGCGGRGGCCGCCGCCGUCCUCUCGCCGGGCAGAUGGGAAGCGAGGGCGGCGGGCGCGGAGCCGCCACAGCAUCCCGCACCGACCGCGCCGGGGGCCGCGGCAGGCCUCGGGGCUGCCCCCGCCCCGCUCGUCACCCCGCGGGGAACGCAGCGGGGACGGGCGGAAGAGAGGGGUUAACAGCCGCUCUGUCCAGCUGACAGCUCCCCAGCAGCCAUUUUUAAAGGCUAACUGUAAUCUCCUCGCUGGUCCGGUCGGCUCAGUGCCCCCCCCGCCCCUCGGUCGGCUUGGUCCGUCCCUGCGCCCGGCCCUCAGCGGGAGCGCGGCCGCCGCUGCCGGGGCCCCGCGGCGGGAGGGGACUCGGCCCGGGGGCGACGGAGACCGCCACCCCUCCCCAUCCGGGGCAGGGGAAGGGGCAGCCGGGGUGAUUUCACACCAGCAACUCCUGCGCCCACAAGCGCCUUCCCGCCCCUUCCCCUGCGCCCAGCGAGAGCAACCUGCACUGCUGGCUGCGGCUCAACAGAGGUGUCGCCCAUCCGAGCCUAAAAAGGGCGGGGGGGGGGAAGGGUGGAACGCCGCCGCGCAGCCCUUAAAGGCCCAGCGCCCACCGGGCCGGCGGCUGCCGCGCUCCCGAAACGCCCCAGGCGGGUCGCACGAGCGCCCGCAGCAGCCUCCUCUCGCCACCGCUCGGCCUGGCCUUGGGUGGGCUGCCGGUUCACGCUUUAUUUAUAGCCGGGGGGGCGGGGUUUUAUUAUUUUUAAAGGGAGGGCGGUCCGUACGGACGCACUGCCGGCCCCUGCCCGCACCCGCAGCCCGGCCAGCGGCGGGGCGGAAGGAGCGGUGCGGCCGGGCUGCUGUGGCCCCGCCCCGGCGCGCGGGGUCCGUUGGUGGCGGCGGGAGCGGGGUCGCCGCGGUGGCUUCGUCCGGUCCCGCUCGGCUCGGCCCGGCCCGGCCCCUCUGCUGGCCGCAGGUCGCCCCUGGCCGGCUCGAGGGGACAGCGCAGGCCUGGCACCCGGCCCGUUACCGUGUUCGCGUCGCCACGGGGCCUGGGGCUGCUGGGGCUGCAGGGCCGCCUCUCCGGGGAGCAGCCGUUCGGUGUUCAUUCACCUCCAGUCCUGGAAAGUUCAGGGAGGUUUUCUUUAAAGUCAGGCCAGUUAAUACUAGAAGAGCUGCUAGAGCUUGCUGUUUUGAAGUUCUUAUUUUCUAA